AGUAUUCUUCUUCCACCAGGAGGAAGAAGAACUGUGUUUCUGAAGUUUGGGAAGUAUAUGUAGACAUGGAGUCUGGCCUUGAGCUUUCUGUAGUAGAAAGGCCCAUGUCAGCAGCCCUUAAAGGGACAGGGUGAGGUGUACUUGGGGGAAAGAUGGUAGUAACCAUACUCCUCCCAAUUUUCCAUGAUACACCACAGUGUAAAAGAGGACCCCAGUGGUUUCCACAGCUACACAGAAAAUUCAUGGAGGGUAGCAGAAGAAGAUGAGCCGUGGAGCUGCCAGGUGGCUGCCAGUCCAAUCUUUUAAGGUUCAAUUUAGGGAAAAGGACAUUUUCUCUGUAAGCCCUGAUACCUUGAUAUGAGAAGGCCAAGAAGAAGCCUAUGGAGAUGCCCACAAGAGAAGACUCAAGCCGAGAGAAACUGAGGCCCCUGGCCCUCCAGCUUUCACUGAGCUCCAGCUGACAACCAUCAUCAAAUCACCAGCCAUGUGACUAUGCCAUGAUGGGAGGGAAUCACCCAGUGUCCAAUUGAUCUGAUGCCACAUGUAAAAGAGAAGAGCCUUCGCCUUUGAGCCCUGCCUAGAUUGCUACUCUGCACCAAGUUUGUUCUUUACUCCCAGCCUAAUGGAUGAAAUGAAACUUGGUGAGCUCCCAGAGUUGGACAACCUUCAGAAUGCUGAGACAUACUAAAUGAAGGAAGAAAGUCCUUUUGUGAGCUCUCCAAAACUCAGACCUCCCAGUGACUACGGCAAGGUCCUGUUGUUUCAGUGAAAAGCUGUUCAACUUUGUGAACCACACAGAGAAGAGACCCUGGGCCCUAAGAGGCUUUAAAAAAGAUUUAUCCAAUGAAUGAGGAGUGAUGGAAGUGAAGAAUACUAAACUCAAGUUAGUGGUUACCACUGGAUAAAGGAGAGAAAUAAAACUGCAAGAGGAACACAAGGCACCACCUGUAUCUGCAAUACUGUGUCACCAUAAGAAAACUCUGAUAUAAAACAUGCCAAAAUACUGAGCUCUGGCAAAAAACAAAAAGCAAACAAAUUCAGCCACAGCUAAAGGCUCUGCAUGAAUUCUGUGGUCUCUAUAGGAAGUAGUAAAAUGAUCUAUGGUACCCCAAAAGCAGUCUUGAGGGGAUUUCACAGAGCAAGUAUCAGAACAUGUUACAACUCAUUUCUAAGGAAGUUCCUCUAAGCUUCCUGUCUAUACCAUAAACCAUGGUCUGCUGGUCUCCUCUUCAUUCAUUCAUUCAUCCAAGAUACUUUCCGGAUGUCCCUGUCUUCAGGAAGAAGGGCCUAAUAGUGGAAUAUUAUGUGGGCAUUGCCACUGGACAGAAACAUUCUUCUCUUUGCAUAAAGUCACAUGAGUCUAAGAUAAUAAUCUGGCCUUAUUCCUCUACAGAAUGACCUCAUUGUUGGCUCAUGAAAUAAAUGAAAUAAUACUAAUAAUUCAUGCUCUCUUAAUUUCCUACCACAAAGUAAAAUUACAAAAGCAAAAUAAAAUAGAAUAAAUAAAAAUUUUAAAAGAUUACACAUGAGAAGUACUUCAAAAUGGAUUAUUAACUCAUUAGAACAUUCCACAAACUAUUAUAUACUUCUAAAAUAAAAGCAAUGUUUUAAAAAGUCUAUAUCACAGUUUAAAACAUAGAGAACUACUUUUUUUUAUCUAAUCAAAGAAUUUAUAAUGACUAUCAGAACAGGGUCUUAAGAAAAUGGCAGCUUUUAUUCUCGUUCCAUUUAAUACAGGAGCCAUUCUGUGAGGAAGCCCAAACUGGGUUGUGGAGAGGUUUAUCUGGAGAAGAAUCAACAGACAACACUAAUUUGCCAGCCAUUUGAGGAGCAGUAUUGAAAGUGGAUCCUCCAUCUCUAGGUCUUCAGUUUGAGAGGAGCUGUGACUGAGGAACCGCAUUUGCACCUGGACCUGAGUACUGUGUGUACGUUUACUGAGAAGACAGAGGAUUUCCAAGCAAUACAAGAAUUCUGUCACAUAAAAGAUCUGAUGGGAAACAUAUCAAAGUUGCUGGAUUGCUGGUUCUGUAUGCGUACUGGGAAACCAUCACACUCUCACUGUAGCUGCCUAGGUCUUCUGAUGCCAUGUUACAGAUGGCCUGUGACCUGGAAGCACCCAAAGCAACAUGCUGAGACUGAAUACAACUCCCUUUACUUCACAGUUCUCAUUUCCAGAGAUAUUUGCAAGGAAAGGGGACAUCUGCAAUGUUUGACAUAACAUCUUGUCAGCAUGUGGCUGCUUCUGCAUUUCUAGAAAAAGCAAUAUGAAUGGAGGCUGGCCAGAAGUCAAGGGAAGACAAAGGAUCCAGCUGGCUUCAGCAGCUCCUGUAAUGCAGCACAAGUCACAGUGUGGAAAAUGCAGAGAAAUGGUGAAUUACUGUAGAAAGACAGACGGCCAGGCUACCUUGAUUGCCACUGCACUGGGAUUACAUACAAACUUUAUUGCACAGGUCAUAUCGAUAAUUUACUAAAUUGAAAUUUGAGCAACAAAAGAUUAAAAACCACUUAAAAAAAUGGAAA
rnacentral:lncRNA from 1 species